rnacentral:rRNA from 1 species
GAUGAACGCUGGCGGCGUGCUUAAUACAUGCAAGUCGAGCGAACGGACGAGAAGCUUGCUUUUCUGUUGUUAGCGGCGGACGGGUGAGUAACAUGUGGAUAACCCACCUAUAAGACUGGGAUAACUUCGGGAAACCGGAGCUAACACCGUAUAAUAUUUUGAACCGCAUGGUUGAAAAGUGAAAGUCGGUCUUGCUGUCACUUAUAGAUGGAUCUGCGCUGCAUUAGCUAGUUGGUAAGGUAACGGCUUAUCAAGGCAACGAUGCAUAGCCGACCUGAGAGGGUGAUAGGCCGCACUGGAGCUUAGACGCGGUCCAUAGUACUGCGGGAGGCAGCAGUAGGGAAUCUGCGGCAGUGGGCGGGAGCAUGACGGAGCAACGCCGCGUGAGUGAUGGAGAUGUUGGGAGCGUAAAACUCUGUUAUUAGGGAUGAACAUAUGUGGAAGUAGCUGUGCACAGCGUGACGGUACCUAAUCAGAAAGCCACGGCUAACUACGUG